rnacentral:rRNA from 1 species
GAUGAACGCUGGCGGCGUGCCUAAUACAUGCAAGUCGAGCGAACGGACGAGAAGCUUGCUUUUCUGAUGUUAGCGGCGGACGGGUGGGUAACACGUGGAUAACCUACCUAUAAGACUGGGAUAACUUCGGGAAACCGGAGCUAAUACCGGAUAAUAUUUUGAACCGCAUGGUUCAAAAGUGAAAGACGGUCUUGCUGUCACUUAUAGAUGGAUCCGCGCUGCAUUAGCUAGUUGGUAAGGUAACGGCUUACCAAGGCAACGUUGCAUAGCCGACCUGAGAGGGUGAUCGGCCACACUGGAACUGAGACACGGUCCAGACUCCUACGGGAGGCAGCAGUAGGGAAUCUUCCGCAAUGGGCGAAAGCCUGACGGAGCAACGCCGCGUGAGUGAUGAAGGUCUUCGGAUCGUAAAACUCUGUUAUUAGGGAAGAACAUAUGUGUAAGUAACUGUGCACAUCUUGACGGUACCUAAUCAGAAAGCCACGGCUAACUACGUG